rnacentral:tRNA from 1 species
AGCCCCAUAGUUUUUCAAAAAUAUAAGAUUGCAAAUCUUAAGCAGCAGAUUAAUUUGUGCUGGGGCUU